GACGAACGCUGGCGGCGUGCUUAACACAUGCAAGUCGAACGGAAAGGCCCCUUUGGGGGUACUCGAGUGGCGAACGGGUGAGUAACACGUGAGUAACCUGCCCUUGACUUCGGGAUAACUUCAGGAAACUGGGGCUAAUACCGGAUAGGAAUCCUUGCUGCAUGGUGGGGGUUGGAAAGCUUCGGCGGUUUUGGAUGGACUCGCGGCUUAUCAGCUUGUUGGUGGGGUAGUGGCUUACCAAGGCUUUGACGGGUAGCCGGCCUGAGAGGGCGACCGGCCACAGUGGGACUGAGAUACGGCCCAGACUCCUACGGGAGGCAGCAGUGGGGAAUAUUGCACAAUGGGCGGAAGCCUGAUGCAGCAACGCCGCGGGCGGGAUGACGGCCUUCGGGUUGUAAACCGCGUUCAGCAGGGGCGAAGCUUGUGGUGACGGUACCUGCAGAAGAAGCACCGGCUAACUACGUG
rnacentral:rRNA from 1 species